rnacentral:misc_RNA from 1 species
GUGUUAGGUCUAGGGACCUAAACUUACAUCUGUAAACAUUGAAGAUAAUUGAUGAAGAUUUCUUAGUUUCUUUAUCUGUCUAAUUGUACUGCCCUUUCAUUCGACAUAGAUAUUGUUGCGACAUUAGCCUAAUUAGAUUUUUGUAAACAGACUGCUAAACCAGUUUUAAGCCCCCAACUGUUACCCACACCAUCCUUUCAUUCGUAGAUAUUGUUGCGACAUCAGCCUAAAAUUAUUUUUUGUUAACAGAUUGUUAAACCAAUGUUUAGCCCCCAAAACUGAGUUUAUUCUGUAUUUCAAAAUUCUUUUUUUUUGUACGGUAAUUAAAUUUUCUUAACAAUUGCAACCAACCCCUAAAAGUAAAGAAAGUCUUUGGCCACUUAGCCAUGAAGAUUAAAGAGCUAGAGCUUAAUCUGAAACUCGUAAGUCUUAAAACUCGUGUGUAAAUCUAAUGGAUCCUGCCAAUACUUGUUUAUAGUUUCAGAGAAGUAUGAUAAGGAUUUAACUGAGUUUAGUUAAUGUUAAUACACUGUGAAGAGUAUUAUUGUUGAGGCACAUUUAGCCGGAAGAGAUAAUGGCUGGAUUUCUAAACCUUGUAAGUGGAUAUUUCUCCAUACCUUGGCUAUUAAUUGAGAUGUGGAGAGAGCAAAGAUUAAACUCUAGAUAUGGGAAGUUUAGAGGCAAAGUUGUGCUAGUGACUGGUGCUAGUAGUGGUAUUGGUAAAGAGCUAGCUAAACAGCUUUUUAAACAAGGAGCUAAACUUAUCCUGGCGUCCAGGUCGACAGAGAAAUUGCUGGAGCUUCGGGACGAGCUGAAGAGUAUGCAAUGUUCAGUUCCUAUUUAUGUACCUGCAGUCCUGACAAUAGACUUAGAACAAGUGGGCGAAUUGGCUGGGAAAAGUAAGGAGGCGUGGCAAUUAUUUGGGCGUGUUGAUAUCCUGGUGAACUGUGGUGGAAUGUCAGUGAGAGGCGGAGUAGUUGAUACCCAGCUUCAUGUGUAUAGACGAUUGAUGGAAGUAAAUUAUUUUGGAAGUGUAGAGUUGACCAGAAAUAUUGUCACGAGAAUGGUUGAAGAAGGAUGUGGGCUUGUUGUGAAUAUCUCUAGUAUUCAGGGAUUGAUAAGUUUACCUGAUAGAUCAGCUUACUCAGCCAGUAAACAUGCGAUACAGGCGUUCUCAGAUAGUUUAAGAGCCGAGGUUUACAGUGCUGGAGUUCGAGUUUUAGUUGUAUCUCCUGGUUAUGUGAACACUGAGCUAUCGUUGAACUCUCUGACCUCAUCUGGAGAGAAACACAACAAGCUGGACCCGACAACACUAAACGGGUUUCGUAGAUUAAUGAGAAUAAGGCAGACAAUCUUUGAUCAGUUAAAAGUUUUAAAGGUAUAGUGUGGAGUAUGUGGCAAAAGAGAUAAUUAGAAGUAUUCUUAACGAGGAUAAGGAGGUUGUUUUGGCUCCAGUUCAUCAUCGAUUGGUUGUUGUA